ensembl:lncRNA
CAGAGGUGAAGAAGAAACAAGACAAAAGCAUGCAAAGACAAAGAACAACAUGAAGCAGAGCAGAGCUCACGCUCUCUUUGUGAGCUGGAUCCAGUGUAACAGAAAAUCAGCCUUUUCAUCCCGCCGUCUGAUUGCAGCUCUUGGAGGAGGCUUGAACUGCGCAGACUCAGCGAGGAUUCGUAAGGGUUCUCCAGAGCUGGAGUUGGGAAGCACAGAGGAGGAGCACACACCUCAGCCUUCCAGAACUAGGAGGAACAGGAGACACUAGGAGAAACACAGGAGAUGUUCACUGAUGGACUGGAGUGCUGUGGAUUAUUGUGAUGUUUUAUCAGCUGUUUGGACUCUCAUUCUGACGGCACCCAUUCACUGCAGAGCAUCCACUGCACACCCAUGAGAAGGUUACUGCAAGGGUUCGUCUGACGGAUGUUUUGUGACACUUCAGGUCUCUGUGGAGUGACAGAGAGACGAACACUCGGGACGAGGAAAGA